rnacentral:rRNA from 1 species
UACGAAGGGGGCGAGCGUUGUUCGGCUUUACUGGGCGUAAAGGGCGCGCAGGCUGCUCAUUUUGUCCGGCGUGAAAGCCCCGGGCUUAACCUGGGAACUGCGUUUGAUACGGAUGGGCUAGAGUUCGGGAGAGGAGAGUGGAAUUCCCAGUGUAGAGGUGAAAUUCGUAGAUAUUGGGAAGAACACCGGUGGCGAAGGCGGCUCUCUGGACCGAGACUGACGCUGAGGCGCGAAAGCGUGGGGAGCAAACAGG